AAGCCCUCCGCACCGUCUCCACCGCUCACGACCAAUGUGUGAGGGCGUGCCAGAACUAGGGCCGCUUCAAAUUCGCGGCCUGCUCCGCACAACCUCGAGUUCUCCGAGGCCUCCCGCGCCGCAUGCCGGCAUGGGGGCACAGACAUUACGUCUCGGAGUGAGGCGGCGGCGGCGACGCCCAAAGCAACCGCCGCCGACCCCUCCACGAUCUACUCGAUGAUAGGUAUAGGAUCUCUCUUCACGUAACGCCCUCAUUAGGAUUGAUCAGGACAAGGGGACGGCUGAGGCCCGGAAGCGAGCACGAAAACUCCGGGACACACGCCAGACGCAGCUGGCUCCCAGACACGCACACGCAGCGAUGCCAGUCCAGUUCAUACAAGCUCUUACUCC
rnacentral:lncRNA from 1 species